rnacentral:lncRNA from 1 species
UUCUACUCUAGGCCACUGACCCAGGCAUGUGGUUGGGUUGUGUUGCUAGGCAACCUGGAGUGGGACACAUCCUAAGAGGAGCUGUUUAUUGUGUCACAGCACUGAGCUCCACCAUGUCGUGUCCUUAAGAGCUCAGUGUUUCCCUUCCUCAUUCCUUUCCCUUCUUUCCUUUCUUCUUUCCUUUUGUCUUUCCAUGUUGGGAUUUUGAACUCAUGAACUACUGCGUGCCAGGCAAGUUCUACCAUUAAGCCAUAUCCUCAGCCCUGACAUUGUGUCUUUCUAAAUGAACCUCAUUCAAUUUUACUAUAAAAUGGAAUAAUAAUCACAAUAACCUGUGCUUCAAAUAGUUCUUCUAUAUGAGGCAAUAAUAUGUGGCUGGAAUGUAGCAAGUACUUAUGAGGUUAUCAGUAAUUGAAACAAUUCUUGGAAUCUAACAAGACUAUACUCAAUUAUGGGAAACUGGCCACAUGUGGUAUCUAAGCUGGCUGCUCCAUUCUGUUCACUGCAGCUGAGAUGCCAGACAUGUUAAAGAAGCCAUCAUUGGAGUCUCAGGUCCAGCCAUGUUCUGAAUCAAUCCAACAUGGCUACAUCAGCUACCAGCUGAACAUGUCAAGUAUACAAAAUAGUGAGAAGUUCUAUUGUCAUGCAGGUACUGGUUUCUGAUGUACUACAGGAAAAAAGAAAAAGAGGAGAAGGCAGAAGAGGAGGGGGCUGAUUUCUUGGAGAACUGGCUGUUUCUAGGCCUGUGGCAAGAAAUGCAUGAGCCUGGAGCACCGUGAAGUGCUGCAAAGAAUGAAUGUGCUAAAAGACAUAAGCAAUUUAAGAAAUGAGACAGGCCAAGGGGGUACCAGAGCCAACUGGAAGAGCUCCGCAUGUGGAGUGACUGACAGGCAGAUAAAGGAGAACUGAGCCCCAACAGUACAGCACUGGGUGUCUGUGAGUCCAGGCCGAUGCAAAUAACACUGGAAUAAACAAGGGAAGGGGGCACCUCUUCCUUGAACA